GCCAGGUGUGGUGGCCAACGCCUGUAAUCCCAGCUACUUGGAGGCUGAGGCAGGAGAAUCGCUUGAACCAGGGAAGCGGAGGUUGCAGUGAGCUGAGAUCGUGCCACUGCACCCCAGCCUGGUGACAGAGUGAGAUUCCGUCUCAA
ensembl:misc_RNA Metazoa_SRP Metazoan signal recognition particle RNA